AGAGUUUGAUCCUGGCUCAGAUUGAACGCUGGCGGAAUGCUUUACACAUGCAAGUCGAACGGUAGAGGGGGCAACCCCUUGAGAGUGGCGAACGGGUGAGUAAUGUAUCGGAACGUGCCCAGUCGUGGGGGAUAACGUAGUGAAAAUUACGCUAAUACCGCAUACGAUCUAUGGAUGAAAGCGGGGGAUCGCAAGACCUCGCGCGAUUGGAGCGGCCGAUAUCAGAUUAGGUAGUUGGUGGGGUAAAGGCUCACCAAGCCAACGAUCUGUAGCUGGUCUGAGAGGACGACCAGCCACACUGGAACUGAGACACGGUCCAGACUCCUACGGGAGGCAGCAGUGGGGAAUUUUGGACAAUGGACGCAAGUCUGAUCCAGCCAUUCCGCGUGCAGGACGAAGGCCUUCGGGUUGUAAACUGCUUUUGUACGGAACGAAAAAGCUCUUAUUAAUACUAGGAGUCCAUGACGGUACCGUAAGAAUAAGCACCGGCUAACUACGUGCCAGCAGCCGCGGUAAUACGUAGGGUGCAAGCGUUAAUCGGAAUUACUGGGCGUAAAGCGUGCGCAGGCGGUUAUAUAAGACAGAUGUGAAAUCCCCGAGCUUAACUUGGGAACUGCAUUUGUGACUGUAUAGCUAGAGUACGGCAGAGGGGGAUGGAAUUCCGCGUGUAGCAGUGAAAUGCGUAGAUAUGCGGAGGAACACCGAUGGCGAAAGCAAUCCCCUGGGCCUGUACUGACGCUCAUGCACGAAAGCGUGGGGAGCAAACAGGAUUAGAUACCCUGGUAGUCCACGCCCUAAACGAUGUCAACUGGUUGUUGGGUCUUCACUGACUCAGUAACGAAGCUAACGCGUGAAGUUGACCGCCUGGGGAGUACGGCCGCAAGGUUGAACUCAAGGAAUGACGGGACCCGCACAGCGGUGGAUGAUGU
rnacentral:rRNA from 1 species